AUGGCUUGGACUCCUCUCGUCUUCAUGAUUCUAUCUUUCUCUACAGGUUCCUUUUCUCAGUCUAUGGUGACUCAACCACCCUCCAUCUCUGAGGUUCCUGGAUCAACAGCCAGACUCACCUGCACCCUGAGGAGUGGCAUCAGUGUUGCUGGUAAAUACAUUUUCUGGCACAAGCAGAUGCAGGGGAGCUCACCUCAGUUUGUCCUGCGCUACUACUCAGACUCAGACAAGAAGCUGGGGCUUGGAGUCAAUGAUAGAGUCUCUGGAUCUAAAGAUAACUCCCAAAAUGCUGCAUAUUUGCACAUCUCUGAGCUACAAGCAGAUGAUGAAGCUGACUAUUACUGUGCCAUCUGGGAAAGUAAUGUGUAUCACAGUGAUACAGGCAGAUGGGGAAGUAGGCAUAAACUGUAG